UGAAGUUCAAUCCCUUCGUGACUUCUGACCAAAGCAAGAACCGCAAACGGCAUUUCAAUGCGCCCUCUCACAUUCGGAGGAAGAUCAUGUCUUCCCCUCUUUCCAAAGAGCUGAGACAGAAGUAUAACGUUCGGUCUAUGCCCAUUCGGAAGGAUGACGAAGUUCAGGUUGUUCGCGGACACUACCAAAGGCCAGCAGAUUGGCAAGGUGGUCCAGGUGUACAGGAAGAAAUACGUCAUCUACAUCGAACGCGUCCAGCGAGAGAAGGCUAAUGGCACAACCGUCCACGUGGGCAUCCACCCCAGCAAGGUUGUUAUCACCAGGCUAAAGCUGGACAAGGACCGCAAGAAGAUCCUGGAGAGGAAAGCCAAGUCCCGACAAGUAGGAAAAGAGAAGGGCAAAUACAAGGAAGAAACGAUCGAGAAGAUGCAGGAGUAG
rnacentral:lncRNA from 1 species